CACACAGAUCUGGGGGCGAGAAGACCUUUGCGGUGGGGCGCUGCAGUGGAGGGGUUUGCUCAGCAUCCGCUGCGUGACCCUGCCCGGCACCGGGCUGAAUAUUUGCAGCUCUGUCCGUGGGAGAGCAGGCAGGGGAGCACCUCUGGCUUCGAGAUUUGAUCAGGAGAGAUGGAGAGAGCAACUGGGCCGUGUCUCCUGCCACCCCUGCAGACACCCGUCUUGCUGCGGCUGCUUUCCUCCCUCGCUCGCUGCAGCUCCUCUCCGUGAGCCCGAGGGUUGCGCUCAGCCCAAAUUUCUUUUCAAGCCUCCAGAUGGCUGAAUUGCAGGCGUUCUGCCCAGGUGGAGCGACCCGUGCCGUAGCCAAGAUGUGGCCGUCCGUGUCCAUCCUGUGCAUCCUGGUGGCCUUGGCCAAUGCCCGCAGCAUUCCUUACUACCCACCACUCUCCAGCGACCUGGUCAACCACAUCAACAAGCUCAAUACCACCUGGAAGGCAGGACACAACUUCCACAACACUGAUAUGAGCUACGUGAAGAAGCUCUGUGGCACCUUCCUAGGUGGGCCUAAGCUCCCUGAGAGGGUUGAUUUUGCUGCAGAUCUGGACUUGCCAGAUAACUUCGACUCACGGAAGCAGUGGCCCAACUGUCCCACCAUCAGCGAGAUAAGAGACCAGGGCUCCUGUGGCUCUUGCUGGGCCUUUGGUGCUGUAGAAGCCAUUUCAGACAGGAUCUGUGUCCACACAAAUGCCAAGGUGAGCGUGGAGGUGUCGGCAGAGGACUUGCUGUCGUGCUGCGGCUUCGAGUGUGGCAUGGGGUGCAAUGGUGGUUACCCCUCCGGUGCGUGGAGGUACUGGACAGAGCGGGGCCUCGUGUCCGGGGGCCUCUACGACUCCCACGUGGGCUGCCGUCCCUACUCCAUCCCACCCUGUGAGCACCACGUCAAUGGCUCCCGGCCACCGUGCACUGGGGAGGGAGGAGAAACCCCCAGGUGCAGCCGGCACUGCGAGCCUGGCUACUCGCCCUCGUACAAGGAGGACAAGCACUACGGCAUCACAUCCUAUGGCGUCCCUCACAGUGAGAAGGAAAUCAUGGCUGAGAUCUACAAGAACGGACCGGUGGAAGGAGCCUUUAUUGUCUACGAGGACUUCCUGAUGUACAAGUCUGGGGUGUACCAGCACGUGUCCGGGGAGUAGGUCGGAGGCCACGCGAUCCGGAUCCUGGGCUGGGGGGUCAAAAACGGGACCCCCUACUGGCUGGCUGCUAACUCCUGGAACACCGACUGGGGGGAUAACGGCUUCUUCAAAAUCCUCCGAGGAGAGGACCACUGCGGCAUCGAGUCCGAAAUCGUGGCCGGCAUCCCCCGGACGGAGCAAUACUGGAAGAGGGUGUAACUGGCCUCGUGCAUCACUGCUGAGUUGAUCAAACCACAAAUAAUCCCGAGUCCCCGAUGCUUUUAACCGAUAGCGGGUUGGGCGCAGAGCCCCCACUCUAAGAGACGAUAGUUGAGGUUACUUUAUUAAAGCUUUUUAUCUUUUUUUUUUUUUUUUUUUUUUAUUAUUAUUUUUUAGUUGUAUGAUGGAGCUGGAGGUGGCAGGUCCUGUACUGGUGCCAGCUGCCGUCUGCAAGCCCUCUGCUCCUGGUGGGUCGCAGCCGGGGGCACUCCCUGCUCAAAGGACUGCUGGGGGGCUUGCUGGCCUCUUUGUGCCGUGGUCUUUGGCUAGCCCAGACCCCUUCCAGCCCAGUCUGUUACUGGGAGGGAGGGAAGCAGUAGCUUUGCGCUGGGAGCAGGGAUUUGGUGGGGCAGCAGAGACGGAGGCUGCUGGCAAAUCCAGGCAUGGCCGGUGCACCCCUGGCUGGGGCGGUCUGACUGUUAGCAGAGAGCGUGUGCCUUGUUGAAUUGGCUAAACGUAGUGCCAUUAGUGACAAAAUACUGAUGAACUUGAUGCGGGGCUGCCUACAGCCCCUCCUGCCUGUGACACGUCCUUUCUGCAUCGCUUGCUCUGCUCCAUUAUUUCGGCUGCUUUUUAAACCACUCAUUCCUCAGCUGCUGUUGUUUUUUAAUUAUGUUCUUUUUCUUUUUCUGCUGUAAUGUGGGGUUAUUGAUCCUAGGGAAGGGCCUGUCUGGAGCUCCAUGAGCUUUGAUCGAAUGUCCUGCAGCAUUCAGGAGCACGCUGGGAAGGGCAAACUGCUUUUGGCCAGGGCUACGCAGCUCGGGCCAUGCCUUGGCAAGGGUGCUGCUGCGUGUUGCGAGCUGGUGUAGUACUUUGGGACUGCAGAUGAUGUUCUCCAGGUCUGCCACAGGGAGCUCAUGCAGAUGCUUGGAGGUAUCUGGCGAACUUGCACGCAACUGAAGCUUUCUCUGAGCCACAGGUGGCAAGGAAGUAAAAGUAAUCUUAUUUUUGUUAUUGGGGGAAGUGUAAUAGCAGUGUAGGAGGAAUCAUGCGAUUUGCCAACACUAAUAUAGUGAAAGAGCUUUUGAUUUUCUUUUAAAGCACAAAGUAUAUUGCUGAGCUAAUGCUACAGGGCUGAAAUAAGUGAAGCAGGCUCUCCCUUGUACUGUAAAAUAGCCCCUCACCUCUGCCUACUGAACCAGUGAGACAGAGCUUUGGUGUGUGUGAAUGAAACAACCGUGCCAAUAAACGAUUUCUCCAA